UCCCUGGUAGUAUAUCGGCUAGUACACCCGCCUGUCAUGAAUAUGAGUGCGCGGGAGAGCGGGGUUCGACUCCCCGCCAAGGAG